rnacentral:lncRNA from 1 species
AUAUAUUGUUGUAUCACAUGGAUCAACCUCUGUAAGGUCCGCCAAUGUGAAAUCUUAUUUGAUCCGGCACACCAUGUUUCUAGACAUUAAUUAGCUUUCUACGUGUCUUCCUCUAACUCACUUGGCUGCCAGGAAAAGGGCCAACCAUAGAAAAUGCAAGUGCUAAUUUUUGACUCCAUGCCAAAUGCCAAUGCUUGAUAUGCUUGUUAGCCACGUUAAUUAGUUCC